GCAAGGACCAAGAUGAUCUCACACACGCAUCUCCUCUGGCUCCUCGUGCUCGGGGUUCAGGGCUCCAAUGGGGACGUUGUGCUGAUUCAGACUCCAGAGUCCCUGACGGUGGCUCCUCAAGACACAGUCACCAUCACCUGCAAUGCCGGUUCAUACACUAGUAGUAGCAUAGCCUGGUACCAACAGAAAUCAGGGAAAUCUCCUAAGCUUCUCAUCCACAGCACGAGCUCCCGUGCCUCUGGGAUCUCAGACCGCUUCAGCGGUGCUAGGUCAGGCAGUGACUACACUCUCACCAUCAGCCGGGUUGAAGCAGGUGAUGCUGGAGAUUAUUACUGCCAGUACCAUGGUAAUACCCCUCUCACAUCUCUCUAG